UACGGGGGGUCCAAGCGUUGUUCGGAAUCACUGGGCGUAAAGCGCAUGUAGGUGGCUUUUCAAGUCAACUGUGAAAGCCCCGGGCCUAACCCGGGAAGUACAGUUGAUACUGCUAAGCUUGAGUACGAGAGAGGAUAGUGGAAUUCCUGGUGUAGUGGUGAAAUACGUAGAUAUCAGGAGGAACAUCGGUGGCGAAGGCGGCUAUCUGGCUCGAUACUGUCACUGAGAUGCGAAAGCGUGGGGAUCAAACAGG
rnacentral:rRNA from 1 species